rnacentral:lncRNA from 1 species
ACAAGCAAUGCCAUGGACGGACCUACUACAAGCAUACCAACUCAUAACUAAAACACAUUCCUUACGUAUAUGGGAUAAGAGCCAUUUGGAUUGGCUUAUUUUAAGUGCUUUGAAGCCAAAAUAGCUUUUAAGUCAUUUUGUAGUGUUUGGAUAAGUAAAAAGUGCUUUUAAGUAGUUGUUUUUAAGCUAAAUUGACAAAAAUAAGCCAAAAGUCAAAAGCUAGAAUUCCUAACUUGUGACUUUUGGCUUAAAAGUCACUUACAACAAGCCCAACAAGUCAAUCAUUGUUCCUUAGUAGUUAUUUCACUCACUAGCUAUUAGGUAUUAUUUUAUUUUCUGAACUCAAAUAAUGUCACAUUAGUUAUUCGUUAUUUAGCCCAGACUUGAGUUCUCCCUCACUCGACUUUUUUAAGAUGCUGAUCAGCAUGCACACUGCUUUAUUUUAUGUCUGACAACCCUAGAAUGAUUUUCCUGUGUCCAUACGGUUCUACAUUUCCACUUUAUCAUGCUCUAUUGUUAUAAUAACUGCUUUGUUGUGGGAACUCGUUUUAGGUCAUACUAUGCAUUUGCUUUACUUGAUACACUUCAUUGUCUUAGUUUGCAAUUGUAUGUAGUUUUUAAUGUGCUGGAUGACGAAGAUAUGAUUUGAUUUAUUUUUGCACUAUCUCAAGGUGUGGUUGCGAAAUUUCCACUGUUGAUCAUGGUCAAGGUAUUACAACAACAACUAUCCAGUAUAGUCCCACAAAGUGGGGUCUGGGGAGGGUAAUAUGUAUACGAGCCUUACCCCUAUCCGAAAGGGCAGAGAGGUUGUUUCCAAUCGACCCUCGGCGGUCAGGGUAUUACCAAGCAGUUAUAUAUGGCUACAAUCACUAGACAGCAAGCCCAUAGAAUAGGUGCUAGCUUAAAACUCUGAUAUGGUACAGAUACAUUUUCAAUCCUAGUAAUGCAGUAUAUCAUGUUUAUCAGUUUUGGGAUCAAUCAUAGGUCUCAUUACUAACCAGUUGGUGGCAAUUCAAACAAGGGAUGCAACAGGAGGACUUCUUCUUGUGGUGGGUAAACAUCCUACUAUCGCUCGCUCAAACAUGUUUACCUUCAAAGUUCUGACUGGAUCCAUUUAAUUAGUGUUGGUAUGAUCGCAUCCUUCAUCAUAUUCUUACUAUUUUUACUCUAGAUCAAGUGAAUUACUGUUGGUACGAUUGCAUCCUUCAUCAUAAUUUUACUAUUUUUACGCUAUCUUCUUGGCCUUUUACCUAUCACAUUCAUUCUUAUCUGUCUUGAGACCGACUAUGAUUGCGAAAUGGCAUAGAUGAAGUUUAGUCCCAUCUUGGGUUAUUAUAACGAUUUCUAUUUCCUUUUCACAAUAAUAUAACGUUUUUCUUACUAAUCAUGGAAUGUAGAGCAUUUCUUCUUUUAUGGUUCCUGUAUCCUACAUUGUGUGGCGAGGCUACCUUCACUUGUCAUUGAAAUGAUGGUUUUUCUUUUAACUAUUCUGUUCCUUAUUUUGAUGAAGUAACCUAUUUAUACUAGCUGCGGAUAGGAAAGAUUCUACUUCACCUGGAGAUCAUAACUAGCCCAGAUAGGGCUGUUGCUGGAUCAUGCCAAUCUUGUUAUUGCAUGCAUUAUGAUCAGGUAAACAAGUCUGUCCUUUUUUCUUACUUCUUUUAUGCGUGUGGGUGCAUUCAACUACUUAGCUAAAGUAAUAAAGUUAUGCCUUAUGAUGACAGGGUUUGGUGGGGGAGGAUUUGAGCAUUUGUGAUCGAAGGUGGCCGUCUUGUUCACAACAUUGGCCUAGUUUAACCUUGUUCUAUUUGUUAUCUUUCUGGAUCAUGAAUAGAGUGAUCUCAUCUUAACUUAGUAGCAUGACAAUAUUGUGCUACAGUGACUCCGUCAUAAUUAAGUAAAUGAACAUGGACGAAUACAAGAGGAAAGAAAUGUUUAGAACAUAUGUAAUUAGUUAAUAUUUUCUUCAGGAGCCUGAAUUGUAUGUUAUGUAGGGCAAGGAGAUGG